rnacentral:rRNA from 1 species
GAUGAACGCUGGCGGCGUGCCUAAUACAUGCAAGUCGAGCGAACAGACGAGGAGCUUGCUCCUCUGACGUUAGCGGCGGACGGGUGAGUAACACGUGGAUAACCUACCUAUAAGACUGGGAUAACUUCGGGAAACCGGAGCUAAUACCGGAUAACAUGUUGAACCGCAUGGUUCAACAGUGAAAGACGGUCUUGCUGUCGCUUAUAGAUGGAUCCGCGCCGCAUUAGCUAGUUGGUAAGGUAACGGCUUACCAAGGCAACGAUGCGUAGCCGACCUGAGAGGGUGAUCGGCCACACUGGGACUGAGACACGGCCCAGACUCCUACGGGAGGCAGCAGUGGGGAAUAUUGCACAAUGGGGGAAACCCUGAUGCAGCGACGCCGCGUGGAGGAAGAAGGUCUUCGGAUUGUAAACUCCUGUUGUUGAGGAAGAUAAUGACGGUACUCAACAAGGAAGUGACGGCUAACUACGUG